rnacentral:lncRNA from 1 species
GCAGUGCUCAGGGCACAAGGUGAGGACUUGGCACUAGAGAACUGGAGGCAAUGUCUGUGAAAGUUCCAGGAUGAGAUGCUGGUGCAGAACAGGCUGGGAAGAAGCAAGCCAGGGGAAGCAAGCCAGUAAAGAAUAUCCCUCCAUAGCCUCUGCAUCAGCUCCUACUCCCUGACCUGCUUGAGCUCCAGUCCUGACUUCUUUCAGUGAUGAACAGCAAUGUGGAAAGGUUAAUAAAAGGCUGAACAGCUAAUGACUGGGCAGAGAAGAUAGAAAUGCUGGAAUUCUGAUCCCAGCCAGGGAUCUUCCGAGGGAGAAGAGCCAGGAGAAUGAGUUCACAAUAAGGCAGAAGAUGGUCUAGCGGAAGAAAUUGGCCACAAGGAAGGUGGAGGAAGGAAGAAGAGGAGAGGGAAGAGGAGGUCACCAUGAGGCUGGGCAUGAGGAGGAGUCAACAAGGAAGUUCUCCAUGAGGACAGACAUGGAGCAGAGCAAGUCAAGGAGAGACAAAAUAUAGGAGUGAGCGUCUGUCUUCAUGAAUGGGAUUAGUUUCCUUAUAACAGGACUUCUCAGCUGCCUUUCUGCCUUCCUCUAUGUGAGGAUUCAAUGUGGUAUCAUCUUGGAAGCAGAGAAUGGCUCUCAUUAGACUUCAUUGUUGGUGCUUUGAAAUGGGAGCUAUCCUCUAGAACGGUCCCCCCUGCUGACUUGAGCCUAGGCUGAGGCCUGUCUGCCACUGCUGUUGUUAACCUGACUUACAGAACUAGAUUGCUGACUGCUGGUGUAUCUGUAAAGUUUUUGUGAGUGGAUCCAGAUGCUGCAGCCUGCUAAACUGUGAACUGACCUGCUGAUUUCCAGAUAACACAGAUGGAAAUUGCUCCAAAGAACCUUUCUAAACAGGUCCACUUCCCUGUAUCCUCUCUUUUCCAUUACCUCUGGUGGGUGGUGGGCUACAAGGGAGUUUAAAGCAUUUAAGAACCA